rnacentral:rRNA from 1 species
UACAGAGGUCUCAAGCGUUGUUCGGAUUCAUUGGGCGUAAAGGGUGCGUAGGUGGCGGGGUAAGUCAGGUGUGAAAUCUCAGAGCUCAACUCUGAAAUGGCACUUGAUACUGCUCUGCUAGAGGAGUGGAGAGGAGAUUGGAAUUCACGGUGUAGCAGUGAAAUGCGUAGAUAUCGUGAGGAAGACCGGUGGCGAAGGCGGAUCUCUGGACAGUUCCUGACGCUGAGGCGCGAAGGCCAGGGGAGCAAACGGGG